GUAGGUGAACCUGCGGAAGGAUCAUUAAAAAAAAUACGCCCGUAGGUUUUAGUAGCAUAAUAAUAAAAAUAAUAACGACAAUAACGAAAUUUCUCCGUUACUAUUCAGGCUUAAAUAUUAUACCGUCUCGUCAAUCUAGCUCUCAACCUAGUUUUUUCGUUAGUCUGGUCCCUCCUAGGCCUGCCUUCUCUCCCUCCAAACUAGUCAAUGUACUAGUUCUACUAAAACCCGGUGCUGUAUAAAACCACCUGUUUACCUUUACCCCUGUUGCUUCCGUGGAGUUACGGGUGCUCUCCCUGUUCGCAGGUUUGAGUUACCUUCCACGAAUAUAUCUAAAAACUUGUUUUUGUAUAAUUGUCUGAUCUAAAAAAAUUAAUAAAAGUUAAAACUUUCAACAACGGAUCUCUAGGUUCUC
rnacentral:misc_RNA from 1 species